UACGUAGGUGGCAAGCGUUGUCCGGAUUUACUGGGCGUAAAGAGCGCGCAGGCGGUCGGAUAAGUCGAGUGUGAAAGCCCCUGGCUCAACCAGGGAGGGUCAUUCGAUACUGUUCGACUCGAAGGCAGGAGAGGGAAGUGGAAUUCCGGGUGUAGUGGUGAAAUGCGUAGAUAUCCGGAGGAACACCAGUGGCGAAGGCGAUUUUCUGGCCUGUUCUUGACGCUGAGGCGCGAAAGCUAGGGGAGCAAACGGG
rnacentral:rRNA from 1 species